rnacentral:tRNA from 1 species
GGGCGGUUAGCUCAGUUGGUUAGAGCACCUGCCUUACAAGCAGGGGGUCGCAGGUUCGAGCCCUGCACCGCCCACCA